UGAAAGGGCUGGGCUUGCUCAGGAGUUGGCUUAAAGCCCGUGGAGAUGGAUUUGUUGUGCAUCCCCCCUCCUGCCCAAGGAGCUGGGGCUUUUCCAAGCUGUGUUCCCUGCUGGGCAGUUCUUGGGAUCUGGCUGCAAAGGGAGAUGAUUUCUCUUUCCUCUUGGAUGUCACAGCCACUUCUAAGGGGUAAAUUAGCAGAUCACCAGAUUUCUGGAGUAACCCUCCCAGAUUCGCCUGCUGCAAGCUGUGCUUCCACAGAGCGAGCCAAAUCGGGCAGCAGGGGUAUUUAUUUUUCUCCCCAGCUCUCUAUGUAGAUGGCAUCUCUAACUCUUCCAAGGCAAUUUGUGACCCUGCAACCACAGCAGAGCUGUUUGUUUAUUCACAACAGAUGGGGUUGGUGAGUGUUUCCCAAAUUACUUUCUGAGCUGGGAGUUCUUGUUUCGUUUGGUACCCAUGAGACAUCCAACAACAGCUGAUUAGUCACAAAAUGACUCUGAUGUCCCAGGUGCUUUGUGAAUGUUGGAAGGUCUGUUUCCAGAACUGCAAAUCCUCUGUUAUUCAUUAAUUUCUUGUUUGGAAAGCUGUUGGGCAUGUUCCUUGCUGCCUUGCCUUGAGGAAGGAGUUAGUGGGAUAAAUCCUGAUCUGGCUCUGCCUGUUCAACUUCAACAGCCCGAGGUGGGCAGGAGUGAGUGUGACCACUGGAUCCUGGUCUGCUGGCAGAAGAUUUGGAUAGCUUGAGGGUUGGAGCUUUCCCAGCCUCCAAUCCUGGCUGUGACUGUGAAAUACAUGGGCAGGUGACUGUGUCCCAGGCUCAUAAAAUCUCACAGCACGGCCUGGGAGACACAGCCUCACUUGGGAUUCCCGGAUGCUGCUCAAGUACAAAUCACAUCUGUAAAUUAUUCAGCAAAUGCCUCUGGACGGCGAAGGCACGGAAGGAGAAUCAUGUGUUUCACCAGCCAAGCAUGCAGACAGUAAGAUUUCCAUUAGUAUUACUUACAACAGAGAGCAGGGCUGUGUCUAAUGCUGCUGUGCCAGCCAGUGCUGCUCAGCACAGAGAGGAGGCAUUGCCCUGACCUGAUGGUCUCUUUCUGCCUAAAAUCCUUUCCUCAGCAGCAGCAAACCUGGGCUGUAAACCCAAGCAGGAGCUCAGAGUGGACUCCAAAUUCUCCUGAAGGUCAGCACUGCGUUGAGUAUCUGACUCAUGCACCAGGAACACGACACCUGUGGUAUCGUGUUAUCGUGAGAGGCUGCAGCGCUAUCACAGAGAGCCCAUCAGGCCCUGGACUCCCACUGCAUGAAAAUGUUGAGUCUGUCACACCUGGAGGGACCUGAUCUGUGUGUUUGGCUCCUCUGCCUUUCUCAGAGCCAGCCCUGAGCAUCCCUCCCCUGGCAGCAGCAUCUCUGGGACUCAACAAAACUCCUCGUGCAGCUGCAGCCAGGCACUCCUCAGGAGUGAAGGACUGGAAUAAAUUGUGCUCUUUUCCCUUCCUUUCUUUGGGAGUUGUACUUGUUGGCAUGGCUUUGUCUGGCCGUGGAGCUGGGGGUGUGGGAAGGGAGGAGGAGGAGGAGAGACGAGCCUGGCAGAGCCCCAUUUCUCACAGUCACUGACCUGCCGUGCUGGGCACUGGCUUGAAUUUCCCAUGGGUUGUGUUGGCUGCUACCUCGUGAAGCUGGACACAGCAAACUGUGCCAAAGAAUCACAUCAGGCUGAUAUCCAACACCAGCUGAAGGAGGGGAAAGAUCAUGUGUUUCCCAGGCAGCCAAGAGACCAUCCUUGCCCCAAAAACACGAGGCACAGGGCUUGGUUUGUCCAUUUAUGCACGUCUUCAGUGUGGUGGUCCCCACCUGAGCCUGUCCUGAGCACCUGGCUCCAAUUAUGCACCCUGAGCUCCAUGAGGUGACUCCUUCCGGUGCCGUUUUAAGAAGGUAUCUGAGUCAACCUGGCCCCACAAAGCAACCAGCAUGGAAUUGGUCCGUAACAUCAGCUGAUCCUGGUUUUCCCAGGCAUUUUGGGGGCCUCCCUGUCCCUUGGA